GUGAGGAAUAUUGGACAAUGGGCGCAAGCCUGAUCCAGCCCUGCCGCGUGCAGGAAGACGCAUCUAUGGUGUGUAAACUGCUUUUGUACGGGAAGAAACACUCCCUCGUGAGGGAGCUUGACGGUACCGUAAGAAUAAGGAUCGGCUAACUCCGUGCCAGCAGCCGCGGUAAUACGGAGGAUCCAAGCGUUAUCCGGAAUCAUUGGGUUUAAAGGGUCCGUAGGCGGUUUAAUAAGUCAGUGGUGAAAGCCCAUCGCUCAACGAUGGAACGGCCAUUGAUACUGUUAGACUUGAAUUACAAGGAAGUAACUAGAAUAUGUAGUGUAGCGGUGAAAUGCUUAGAUAUUACAUGGAAUACCAAUUGCGAAGGCAGGUUACUACUUGUGGAUUGACGCUGAUGGACGAAAGCGUGGGGAGCGAACAGGAUUAGAAACCCCUGUAGUCC
rnacentral:rRNA from 1 species